CUACGGGAGGCUGCAGUGGGGAAUAUUGCACAAUGGAGGAAACUCUGAUGCAGCAACGCCGCGUGGAGGAUGACACUUUUCGGAGCGUAAACUCCUUUUAUAUAGGAAGAAGAUGACGGUACUAUAUGAAUAAGCGCCGGCUAACUCCGUGCCAGCAGCCGCGGUAAUACGGAGGGCGCAAGCGUUACUCGGAAUCACUGGUGGUAAAGAGCGUGUAGGCGGAUUAAAAAGUCAGAAGUGAAAUCCUAUAGCUUAACUAUAGAACUGCUUCUGAAACUCUUAAUCUAGAAUAUGGGAGAGGUAGAUGGAAUUUCUGGUGUAGGGGUAAAAUCCGUAGAGAUCAGAAGGAAUACCGAUUGCGAAGGCGAUCUACUAGAACAUUAUUGACGCUGAGACGCGAAAGCGUGGGGAGCAAACAGGAUUAGAUACCCCCGUAGUC
rnacentral:rRNA from 1 species